rnacentral:rRNA from 1 species
AACGAACGCCGGCGGCAUGCCUAACACAUGCAAGUCGAACGAGACCUUCGGGUCUAGUGGCGCACGGGUGCGUAACGCGUGGGAACCUGCCUUUAGGUUCGGAAUAACUCAGAGAAAUUUGAGCUAAUACCGGAUGAUGUCUUCGGACCAAAGAUUUAUCGCCUUUAGAUGGGCCCGCGUUGGAUUAGCUAGUUGGUGGGGUAAAGGCCUACCAAGGCGACGAUCCAUAGCUGGUCUGAGAGGAUGAUCAGCCACACUGGGACUGAGACACGGCCCAGACUCCUACGGGAGGCAGCAGUGGGGAAUAUUGGACAAUGGGCGAAAGCCUGAUCCAGCAAUGCCGCGUGAGUGAUGAAGGCCUUAGGGUUGUAAAGCUCUUUUACCCGAGAUGAUAAUGACAGUAUCGGGAGAAUAAGCGCCGGCUAACUCCGUG